rnacentral:rRNA from 1 species
AUUGAACGCUGGCGGCAGGCCUAACACAUGCAAGUCGAGCGAGCGGCGGACGGGUGAGUAAUGUAUGGGGACUGCUCGAUAGAGGGGGAUAACUACUGGAAACGGUGGUUAAUACUGCAUACCGUCGGAUUACCUAUAUGGGAUUAGCGAGUAGGUAAGGUACUGGCUUACCUAGGCGACGAUCCCUAGCUGGUCUGAGAGGAUGAUCAGCCACACGGGAACUGAGACACGGCCCAGACUCCUACGGAGGCAGCAGUGGGGAAUAUUGCACAAUGGGCGCAAGCCUGAUGCAGCCAUGCCGCGUGUAUGAAGAAGGCCGUAGGGUUGUAAAGUACUUUCAGUCGGGAGGCGUUACCGACAGAAGAAGCACCGGCUAACUCCGUGCCAGCAGCCGCGGUAAUUC